rnacentral:misc_RNA from 1 species
UCUCCGUAGGUGAACCUGCGGAGGGAUCAUUACAGAGCAUCAUGCCCUUCGGGGUAGAUCUCCCACCCUGUGUAUUAUAUACCUUUUGUUGCUUUGGUGGGCCGCCUCGGCCACCGGUUCCGGCUGGUGCGUGCCCGCCAGAGGACCCCAAACUCUGAAUGUUAGUGUCGUCUGAGUACUAUCUAAUAGUUAAAACUUUCAACAACGGAGCUCUUGGUUCUUGCAUCGAUGAAGAACGCAGC